GACGAACCGUGCGAACGUUGUUCGGAAUCACUGGGCUUAAAGGGCGCGUAGGCGGGCCGCCGCGUCCGGGGUGAAAUCCCACGGCUCAACCGUGGAACGGCCCCGGGUACGGGCGGUCUGGAGGGGGAGUAGGGGCAGGCGGAACUGUGCGUGGAGCGGUGAAAUGCGUUGAUAUGCACAGGAACUCCGGUGGCGAAGGCGGCCUGCUGGGUCCUUUCUGACGCUGAGGCGCGAAAGCUAGGGGGAGCAAACGGG
rnacentral:rRNA from 1 species